rnacentral:rRNA from 1 species
UACGUAGGGCGCAAGCGUUGUCCGGAAUUAUUGGGCGUAAAGAGCUCGUAGGCGGUCUGUCGCGUCUGUUGUGAAAACUCGAGGCUCAACCUCGGGCUUGCAGUGGAUACGGGCAGACUAGAGUGCGGUAGGGGAGACUGGAAUUCCUGGUGUAGCGGUGGAAUGCGCAGAUAUCAGGAGGAACACCGGAUGGCGAAGGC